rnacentral:rRNA from 1 species
UCGAACAUGGGGCGAGGGGGGUGGGUAAUAGGGAGGGGUGAAGGGUGAAGGGGUAUGACUGGGCGGAAAGGGUGCGCAGGGUGUGAGGGAAGAACGAUGUUAAUGCCCCGGGCGUAACCUGGGAACUGCAUUGGUGACUGCAUCGCUGGAGUAUGGCAGAGGGGGGUAGAAUGCCACGUGUAGCAGUGAAAUGCGUAGAGAUGUGGAGGAAUACCGAUGGCGAAGGCAGCCCCCUGGGCCAAUACUGACGCUCAUGCACGAAAGCGUGGGGAGCAAACAGGAUUAGAUACCCUUGUAGUC